CUUAGGGGCUCGGUAUUAAAGUAAUCAAGGUGUGUUUAAUAUUUUUUUCUGCGUAAUUAACAUUAUGCCAAAAAUGCUGUGAUGAUAAAGCUCAACUUUAAUGGGCUUUAACAGAUUUCUAAUGUAUUCUGCUAUUUGUGACGUAUUUGGCUUUUUGGGUGUCUUAGGAUUCAGUAUGUACAAGCAUUUUUGUGAAACAAGCUUUACACAGACCCAAAAGCUAUGAAGGGUGAUUCCUUUUGGUCUCAGUGUGUUACCUCAGUUAUUUUGAGUUUUGGUACAUCUAUGACUAAAUAAUUAUAGUGGUAAGUGCAGCAUUAGCACUUGACUGUUCUUCUGAGGUAAACCGGUCUCCACUUUAAUUUGACAUUUAACACCACGGCCAGCCUGUGCAUCUCUUCCAUCUCACAAAUCUGGAAGUAACAGCCAUCACAUUUCCAGUCCCAAAUGCUGUCACUUCCUGGAAACGAAAGUGCAUUUUACCCCGAAUUUCCCUUUUCUCAGCAGCAAUUCCAUUCCACAUUGUGGUUUGGUGUUUUGCUAUUUCUUGGACAAGGUUUGGAAACCUUGAUUCAACACAGAUCUGUUCCUAAUCAGCACGGCAGGCUUGAGGUGAAAUGUGACCCUUGAUUAAGAUGUAGAGCGGGCCGGGGAGCGUGGCUUAGACCUGUGAGUGGGGUCAGCUGGCCCUGAAUUACCCAUGAUGCACUUCACAUGGAAAUUGAUUGUCCAUGAACGCGGGGUCGCGAGUCUCAUGGCCCGUAACCUUUUGAGAUGUUUCCACGGAACAGAGGAAAAUCCUUUUUAAACAGAUGGAACGACUGGGAGGUGUGGAUUACACAUGUAUCUCGAGGCUGGGAGUGAUGGUGGAGAUGGAGGGAGUGGACUGGAAAGACCCACUGCAGCAUUUUUUUGUUUAGUCUAUGCAGUAUUUAUCAGCGAGAUGGAGACAUCCCCGUCUGGAACGGGAUCUCUGGGGUCUGCUUGAUGACAUUUCUAGCUGUCUGGACGAGUCGUGUGGAAGGAUGUGCGUAUGUCCUGAGAGUAUUUUCAGUGGAAAAGCAUUUCACAAUGCAGGGAAACUUGAAAGGAAAGUCAUUAAUAGGCCAAAGCAUUUAGUGCAGAUUUGAUGGAGCAUUUAGAUGAGAGUUUAUAGCUGUCAGGGAGCCAGAUGGGAUCAGGAUGUCUCAUGUAGUCUUUGGCGUCUGGAGUUGCUUAUUAGGAAUGCCGAGAAGGAUCCUCCUCAAGAAUGUAGUAUAAAUAUUUAAUCUAAACACAGGAUGGAAGGUUUACUGCAUGUAUCAGUCCUUAUAGAUUGAUUCAUUACAUUUGUGCUGUCUUUUGUGACUUUUCUAGAUAAAAUCAUCCUACAUAAAGAACAUUCUGUGAAAAUAUAACCUUGAUAUUUUAAUAUUGACUAAGUAAGGUCAUGUCAAAGACUGGAUUUAAAGUGCAGGCAAUAAGUGACAUCAAACUUUGAUGCUACUAAUCUCAUAAUAAGAUUAUGAGACUUUAGCCUGGAUUUUACAGUCUGGUUCACAUUUCUUAAAUUAAAGUCUUCUUGUAACAAUGAACCACUUUAUUCUCAUGUAAUAUAAAAGUCAUGUUAUAUGCACAGGAACCGUAUACAAAGAACUUAAAAAUUUUCUUAAAUGCUUUACACUGUCAGAAAAUAUGGUCAGAAUUAG